UACGUAGGGCCCAAGCGUUGUUCGGAUUUACUGGGCGUAAAGGGCGCGUAGGCGGCACUUUAAGUCAGCUGUGAAAUCUCCGGGCUUAACUCGGAACGGUCAGCUGAUACUGCUUUGCUAGAGUGCAGAAGGGGCAAUCGGAAUUCCUGGUGUAGCGGUGAAAUGCGCAGAUAUCAGGAGGAACACCGGUGGCGAAGGCGGAUCUCUGGGCCAUUACUGACGCUGAGGAGCGAAAGCGUGGGGAGCGAACAGG
rnacentral:rRNA from 1 species